GACGAACGCUGGCGGCGUGCCUAAUACAUGCAAGUAGAACGCUGAAGGAGGAGCUUGCUUCUCUGGAUGAGUUGCGAACGGGUGAGUAACGCGUAGGUAACCUGCCUGGUAGCGGGGGAUAACUAUUGGAAACGAUAGCUAAUACCGCAUAAGAGUAGAUGUUGCAUGACAUUUGCUUAAAAGGUGCAAUUGCAUCACUACCAGAUGGACCUGCGUUGUAUUAGCUAGUUGGUGAGGUAACGGCUCACCAAGGCGACGAUACAUAGCCGACCUGAGAGGGUGAUCGGCCACACUGGGACUGAGACACGGCCCAGACUCCUACGGGAGGCAGCAGUAGGGAAGCUUCGGCAAUGGACGGAAGUCUGACCGAGCAACGCCGCGUGAGUGAAGAAGGUUUUCGGAUCGUAAAGCUCUGUUGUAAGAGAAGAACGAGUGUGAGAGUGGAAAGUUCACACUGUGACGGUAUCUUACCAGAAAGGGACGGCUAACUACGUG
rnacentral:rRNA from 1 species